GGAGUCUGCGGUGCAGUUGAAAAACGGAGGUUGGGUUUGAGGUUCAGUAAAUGAAGGUUCACGCCUCGCUUUCUGGUUCGUGGUUUGGCCUGUGUUCUCAUUCGGCCAUACUUAAAAAUUCGCCUUGGCGUGAAAGGAGGCAAAAGUGAGCUUUCUGAAAAACAGCCUCCAGGUAGAACUGAGCUGGAGGCUCAGGAUCACUUAACCCGGCCCGGGCAAUACGCACCCUGAAAUCAAACUGAAACCAUGGCAUCGUACUCCUGAGAAUGGGAGCCUCUGGCCAAGCCCGGGCGGCCCUGAGAAAUGCCUCUGGCGUGGAGCGGGGGUGCCCUUCGGUCCCGCUCCCGUCUCACGACAGACCCAGAGGCCCCGGCCCCUUACGUGACAGCAGGGGUGCUUCAGAAAGAGCGGUGACAGCUCACACGCCCCCCUUGCUGCCUCGCGGUCGCGGUUACCACCCUGCCGAUCUGCUUGGUUAGCCUUUAAUAAUACCCGGGGCCUUGCUGGUUCUGGACCAGCCAACGGUUUAAUGGCAACUUCAUACCAGAGGAGCACGGAUUCCUCUUAACAAAAACCGCAGAGGGCACCGUGGCAACCGGCACCACAGCUCGGCCACAGUUUUCAGGAGCCUCAUUUACAAGUGAGGCGAUCCAGCAACGUCCGUAAACGGCGUGCCCGCGUAGAGCUGGUUUCGCGGAAUGUCGCCCCCCUCACGCUCCUAGAAGUAGAAGGGGUCGCUCCUAGAACAGGAGAGGGUUCAUCUCACUGGAACAACUCCUCUCCCAGGGAGCCCGUCGGUCGUAAACGAGACGUUUAUAAACAGGAAGGGGGGUGGGGUGAGGUCUGGGGAAAGGAGCAUACACACGGGGGACAGGGGUCUGCGUUUUUGAGGCUGUUCUAAGGUCACAACCUCAGACCCGACCCACUGCUCGCACACGUGCUAUCCUGAGCCGCCGGGCACGUGGUAGCGCACGGGUGCCCUUGCGUGUGUGUGCGUGCGUGCCCGUGUGUGCGUGCGUGCCCGUGUGUGCGCGCUCUGCCCAUCACUUCGGGAUCCUGCCAGAGUCUUGCGUCCCCGUCCCCUCUCCGGACUGCACCAAUCCCAUCCCCACCCUGAACCUUAGGGUUCCAUCCCCACUAUGAGAUUCUGGACCCGGGUUUGUAUUCUUUGGCUCUGUAGAUACCUGUUGACUGACUACUCGGUGCUAAGCACUCUUCUGACAGACGGGGCCCGGGGGUGGGGGGAGGGUAGAUCCACGAGUGAACCAAACACACGGAUCUGCCUUCUCUCCUCCGCAGGUCACGUUCUAGGAUCAAAUACUGCAUGUUUCGGAAUUGUUCUCUACGUUGAUCAACUGUCUCUCCUCAGAUCAUCCAUUUAUUCCAUCCCUUACUAGAGGGCACUUUUUGGGUACAGGGUUGGUGCCCUCUACCUCUGUGGCGUUCUGACAUCCUGCAGAGGGGUUUUCACACAAGUCCGGUCAGCUACUUCAUUCCUCGCACCGAAUAUAAAGCAAUGAGGUUUUCAAAGGCAGCGUUUCUCAGAGGUAGGCCGAGUACCCCUUGGAACCUAGAGCGUUCGAACGACUACUGCACAGAGGAGACCGGAUUCUCCCUUGAGCUUUUUUGUUUUCUUUCAACCCAUCGUAUCAUGUUCCCCGAAGGCAGGUUUUGGUCUGGUGCUAUCAUGUGUUCAGCCCAGGUUAAUCUGCCUUUCCAUGAAAGGGGUACAAGGCCUUGGGCUCGGAACCAGCAGUCCCAAGCAAUAUUAUCUGGCUAGAAUUUAAUAAGUUUUGUUUUCAUUGUAUUUGUUACUUUCACACAAGGACAAGUAAGACUAGUUUUCCAUUUAUGGCAGUAAAACAAAUUUGUUCAAGUCAAACACUGAAUGGAUAUAAAGAAAAAUGGUAAAAAAAAAACAAAAACAAAAACAAAAAAAACCCACAACAAAACAAAAAAACCUUCAGCUGGUGCUCAGACAGGGUAAAACUCCUAAAAGUGAAACACAGCCAGCAAGAAUUUAGGAACAUGUGGCCCAAAGUACAGCAUUAACAGAAGCCAAGUUUUCCCGGUUCUGUACCUGUUUGGGCAAAAUCGAAUCUGAACUCUAUUUUAGAACAAUAGCAUGCCCUGUCUGCCCAAGCUUCACUUACUGCCAGAGGGAACAGCUCCAACCCCAAAUUAAAAACAUUAUCGGUAAUCAGAGACGAAAAUCCAGUUAUCGGAACCUUGCAGAGUCCAACGACUGCCCCAGUUCCUGGCUUCUUAAAGGAUUAGUGCCACUUCUGUAUCGGUGCGUGCCUGGCCCGGGGAGGAGAACUAGGUGAGGUUACUUUGAAACUUCAGGACUAAGGACCUCAUGAAUACAGAGGGAAACUACCCAAGGAACAAUCGAGAGCAGUUUGAAUCAAGUCAAGUGAUCUGGGUUUCAAAUUCAACAGGGAGAACGCGCCUCUCCCUUUUCUAUGUUCUUAAAGAGGGAGCCAGCACGGACCCGACACGGGCGCGUUAUCCUCCAUCCUGUGGGCCCUGCACCGGGAGAGCCGUCGAAAGAGAGCGAGCGAGCCCGCUACUCUCUGGGUUCCUGCCUGCAAUUAGUGUUCCUACCCUACCCAACGUGAAACGAAGAGGGUUGGGCCAAGGCAGAUAGAUACCUUGGCUCAUGUUUUAAUUUUGCAUGAUCCUCUCAAAGACCGUCAGCAUUCAGUCUGCUCGGAGAAGUUAAGUAUCUCAUUAAGAGGUGCUGACUCUUACGACGGAACCCAGCUAUUUGAUCAGCCACAAAUGAAUGCCGCACCCUAAGAAAAGGCCCAUCCUGCAAUAAAACUGUGACCCAGUAUCUCCAGCUGGAUUCGCCACAAAGCCUUUAAGAUACUGGAUUUUCAUAAGAUCAGGACUUUUCCAGGCAGUUUGUCAAGGGCUGCCUUUUCCAGGGAAACGCGUACCUUCCUCUAGCGCGGGCCCUUUGCAGACCGGGAAGGGGGCCGGCACAGGGUGACUGGAAACCCAGUUACUCAGCCAGCUACAGUGCCUGGGAGUCACUGGGUCAGUCCUCCGGUUUAAGGGCUUCAGGAUCCACUAUUUCCUUCCCGUGAAGGGCGGCCCUUCAGUGCCCAUAGCUUCUUACGGCGAUUUGCGGUUAUUACAGGAAAUAAUAGGAGAGGCAGGGAGGAGUCCUGCAGAAAUGGGGGGACGAUCCAUUCCUCUGAUGAGGAGCCAGGGUUCUAAAGUGACCAGUGGGUGAGGAUCAGGCCUUGGGGGCAGGUUCUGGUGAUUCUGCACUGGGGCCUCUGGGCAGCAAGGGAACAAUAGAAAGCUAACAGGCACUUCGGGGUCCUACCGUAGAAAAGGGAACACGACGUGAGAGGUCUGUGGCCACAGAGACACCUUGGACUAGAGCUGGCCUCUCUUCUCUUCUUGCAUUCACAAAGUUCUCCGGAGCCACUUCCUCUGUGCCCAGCGUUGACCGUGAACUCGGGGAGGGGAGUAUCCAGACAAGGUCCCUGUUCUGUACUUUUUGCCUUCACAUUUCCAAAUACCUUAACCGGCCUAAACGACUCUUAUCUGCGCUUCAUUUCCUUUCCCUCCUUCUGCCAAUCGUCCACACAACUAACACAGCGAACACACCCACCUGGGAUAAAUAACCCAGUGACGCGUGAGUCCUGGACCUCAGAAACCUCGUAUCCUGGAAGGAGGAAAACCCGGGUCGUCAAAUCAAAUUCCUACAGCGUGCAACAGCGCAAAUGGAAAUAAUUAGCUGUCGGCGGGACACAAAACCUUUCGUACGGGGGUUAACAUUCGACUUGAGUUUGGAUGUAGACGAGGGGAACAGCGAGCUGUAGCGGAAUACGCAGCCGCCUGUGCUCACGGGCCACGCUGCUGAGCUGAGUAACACCCCCCCCCCCCCACCUCCGCACAGAGCCGGGUCCAGGGGCGCGGGUCCCCUGGCUUCAGGGCGCUCGCGGAGUCAGUGGUACCGCGAUUUCCACGCGCACCUGCAACUCUAAGUCUCUUGGCUCUUCGUCUCCCACGGAGCAGAACCUGCAUUUGCUCACGACUGUAUCCACAUUGUGGAAAAUUCUCCAACGGAUAACUCUUAAGUCUUCUCUAGCUGCUUCAAGUGUAGACUCAGCAGAAGCUUCUAAGGAAUUUCUCAUUUCUGCCCUGACUACAUACAGUGUGUAGCAAAAGCUAGUGACUUCCAGUCCUGUCCACCACGAGCGCCGUGCGACUACUGGUAACGCAGCGAGCAUGGAAUCUCUUUGCAGUGACUAACUCUGACUUUGUCGCGGAGUCUGCCUAGGCUCUUCCAUGGACAGGUGACUCGGGCACUUUGGAGGUAGAGCGUGGCCACCUAUUUUCCGGUGGUUCUUAAAGGUUGGCUGGGCAUUGAAGAUGCCUGUGGGGUUACUUUCUUCCUUUUAAGUAAGAGUCUAUAUGUGUUCCAACCUAUACAGAACUUCUCUCUCCCAGUGUCACGGAGUUCAGGCACCGAAUCAGAAUGCUUGUCCCUGUGCCGUUUUUCUAGACAGAUUCUCACAUAAAAUCUAGGCAAUCUGAAUUUGAUUGCGGCACAAUUUUGCUGGUGUUCCAGUAAUACAACAGUGAUCUUUAAAUACACCAGCCAGUUCGGCAGAAAAACGACUCUCCACUCACUCGGGCCCCUUCCUGCCAGGGAUGGUGCGACAGGAGGGGCCACGAGCUGGGAGGGCCAGGCCUGGUUUACUGUUCCUUCUGCUCUCCCUCUUGAAAUUCUUGUUUUGGGACAAGGGGCCCUACGUUCCAUUCUGAGCCAGUUCUGUUUACAUCCACGGGCCUCUGGGGUAGCGCACGGAGGGCUACCUUUGUGUGGUUUGCCUAUAGGCUGGGUGCAAAAGGUGGUCGAAAGGGCUGCUUUGAAAACAAGUGGCCCACAGAUCUUUGGUGCGAGCUGCUGGCUGGGGGGAGGCCGAGGCCGGAAGGCUCGCCUGGAAAGGAAGAGAGGCCGGGAAGGCUUGCUGAAGCCUUGGGGCAGGGGUGAAGAGCAGAGGCCACAGGCCGGCCUCGCACACACAAAACUCCAAUCCCGCCUGAACCUGGGCUGGGCUCCCUCUCCCUCUCUGUCUUUCCUCUCCAAGCCACCACCUAUUUUCCGCUCCCCAGUACAGCGCCGGGACGUAGGCCAUGGUAAGGAAAGAGAUAAGAGCUAAAGGAAGGCUGGGAUUCUCCGGACGGAAGGGCUCAGAGGGACACAGCCAGCCUUGACAGAAAGGAGAUGAGCAAUCGAUCCUUGCCCCGCUAUGGCCGCCACGGAGCCCAGGAGGUGCUUGGGCUGUGGAUGCACCCCGCAAAUCUGUUUACUGGCUACAGGAAAUAAUGCUGAAAAAUGACAGUUUCACAUGAAAAUGCCCAUGCAUUUCAGUAAUUCUCUACACCAGUGUGCUCCAAGCUCUCUCGUCAAGCCCUCUUGUUUUCUCACUGCCAUCCACCAAUGACAACGACCCCCUUUUUGAAGCUGGAAGGUAAUUCUUCCUCAACCCAGAAUAAGGUGGCACGGACUUUUUACUGGAAAGACAUACCUUCUUUUCUAAUAUAAUUAAAGACGCAGCAGUCCUUUCCAGAAGUUCACUCUAAAAUUGUGUUACAUGACUCAUUAUCUGGCCUCUUCUGCCUGGAUGGUGGUUUUGGUUGUAGCUUAGUCCCUCCCCGGCCCUCAAAAACUCUAAAAAUAUGAAUAGACGUUUGUCACUUACGUUUCCCUCUCCCUCCUACUCCCAAUGAUUAAAAGAGUCCACUCUGCGAGUUACCAUAGCUCAGUGUGAGCUACGGAUAGCUGUUCGAUAUUUCCAUCACCUCUCCUUUACAAACGGACUCCUUGCUGCAUGUGCUUUAACAGAUUAUCGUGUGCAAUACUUACAACUCAUUUUUCAAAGUAGAAAUUCUUAGUCCCGUUUUUCCAGUUGAUGAGCUGGAGGCUUUUAGAGCUGACACUUUUUGUCCAAGGGCACAGAACUCUGUCUAGUGCCUCUGGCUCUGCCUGGGCUGGUUAAGUGCUCCCACGACGGGGGAGCCAGCUUAUUGGGGUCUGACUCUGGGCCUUGCCAUUUCCUGGCUGGAUGACCUUGAGGAAGUCACAUUACUCCUCUAUUUCCCAGAUCCCGUAUCUACAGUACAAUGAUCCCUAUUAUAUAGGGUUAAGGAAAGCAUUUAAAACAGUACUGGCAGGGGCGCCUGGGUGGCUCGGUCGGUUAAACGUCCGACGUCGGCUCAGGUCGUGAUCUCACGGUUCGUGGGUUCGAGCCCCGCGUCGGGCUCUGUGCUGACAGCUCAGAGCCUGGAGCCUGUUUCAGAUUCUGUGUCUCCCUCUCUCUGUGACCCUCCCCCGUUCAUGCUCUGUCUCUCUCUGUCUCAAAAAUAAAUAAACGUUAAAAAAAAAAAAAUAAAAUAAAAUAAAACAGUACUGGCAUGUAGUGAAUAGUAUGUAAUAAAUAUCCUUACUGCUGGCCCUCCAAUGUGCUCACAAUGCUGUGGUCCAUCCCGCUGUACGUCGAUGAAGCCAUGGGUUUCUAAACAACUUCAGCAAACUCCGAGAAACAAAACCGCUGGGGCCAUUCCUGCCCUCCAGAGGACAACCUCACAAUUAAUCAGGCCAUGAAUGACAGAGGCAGAUAGAAGACGUUUGCAGAGACAGUAGAGACGCACGAGAACCAAAUGCAACAUGUAAUCCUUAACCGGGUCCAGACCAGAAGCAUUUUCUUUUUUUUAAUUUUGCUGCAAAAGACGUUUAUGGGUGAAACUGGUAAGAUUUGAAUGUCUGGACAGAGAUAGCAGUACUAUAUGAAUUUCCUGGUUUCUGAUGGUUGUUCUGUGGUGACAGAAGAUAAAACACAAUGGUAUGGGAAUUCCGUGGGAAUUAUAUAUGUACCUUACAGUCAAAUAUAUAGAGAAUGAUAUUAAUACCCACACAUGUGCACAAAGCGAGAGAGCGAGCGAGAAGAGGGGACAACUGGUAAAUCGUGACACAGUAAAACAUUAACAUUUGGGGAAUGUGGGUAAAGGGUGAGGGUGCUGAAUCUAGGCUUUGGAAGAGCUGAGUUUCGUUCUAGCCACCACGUCCUCGUGCUCUUAGGCAACUAUGUUACACUCUCUGAGCCCGUUUCGUCAUCUAAAAUUAGGGACAAUAAAAUCUGCCUCAUUGGGACGAAUGUAUCCGUAAGUUUAUAGGUGGGUUUACAAGGAUGCAGCCCAAUGAGCAAAUCACAAAUUUACACGGAGCAGCGCGGGCCGGGCUCUUCUAGAAGUCAGAGAAAAGCUAAGGGCCCCCCCACCCCAGGGGUGGGGGUGGGGGUGGGGAGAGCAGCUCAGCUGGAAUAUCAGGGGAGAACACUCAGAUGAACUUGGCACUUGACAUUAGAAAUUCAUUUCUGCCAAUUCCCCACAGAAGAAAGGUUUUUGGACAGAGAACAUAUCCUAUUCUUAAUUUUUUUUUUUUUUUUUUACAGGAGAAAAGAAAAUGUAAAUACGACGAGGCAUUCUUGAGAUUAAUGAUUUUCAAUCUGCCUCUACAUCAGAAUCACCCUUUGGAGCUUUAAAAGAUAAAUACAUGCUUGGGCCCUACCCCAGGAGAACCUGACUCAUCUGGUCUUGGGGAGGUCCUGAACAUUCAUAUUUUCAAAUGGCUCCACAGAUGCUUCUGAUGUUCACUGGGGCUGCAGACGACUGCCCUAGACAGAGUCACUGAGAGUCGGCGCCCCAGAAAUCAGGGCUGGAACGAAGCCCAUCGGAUGUUGUCGUAAGCGAUCCGAAGGAAAGAAUGCAACCUAUCAGUUACCUCGGCUUUUGCUGGUAUUCGCGGUACCCUGGGGGCCCCCGACAGGAGCGGCAUGCCAAGGAGACGGCCUUCAGUUCUUUCUGCCGGGGCCGAGCACACGAGGCCACGGCAGAGCGGCCCCCUUGGACCUCAGAGGCAAUCACGAGGGAAGGGCCAAGAUUACCGCAGUGACCUCAGGCCUGAAUUCUUGAGCUGCUGAACCAGAGCCUGUCAUGGCCCUGCCUCUUCACUUCUUGUGAAAGACGAAACCCAGGAGAAAACGCCGAUGUUUGACACUUUCUGUCGUCGAGCUCCACCUUAGACGUGUAAAACCAGACGUGCGUGUGACAGAUCCAACCAGAAGGAGGCGGCACCAGUUACCUACGGAUUCUGGUCUCCGUCUCCCUCUAACCUCCUCUCUAUCCUGCCACUGGCAUUUUCUUCCAUCGCUCCCGAUUCAGAAAACAGGGCGCAGGCCCUUCACAACCCGGUCCAAGUCAACUGUUCCGAGUUCUAGCAAAACGCCUCAGUCCACUGAUACCUGGUCAGACUAACCAGCUAAAUUGAGCGGUCUGAGCUUCGUAGGUAAAAGAUUCACCGAAGGACAUAAACCACCAAAAAGAAAAUCACUUCUUACACCAAAGGCAGAAAGAUCAACUCUCUGUCGCUUGGGACUCUCUUUCUUUUGAAAAGUUUUAAAACAUCUUAUAGCACAAAAGGGAAAAUGCUUUGCUAUUUUGGGCCGCUUCUUUCACUCUUGUAAAUGACAUCUGCAAUGUCAACAUUCAGCGAGAACUAUUCGGAAUUUGGCACUUUUAAUUCAUGUGAAAAUGCCAAUUCCACUGAGUAAAGAAGAUAUUAAAGUUAUAUUCAACAUAAAGUGCAAAUAUUUCAUCAAAGUGGGUUCAGGAUAAAAAUGUUAAUUAUAUGUAAAAAUUAAAUACCACCUUAUGAAUCACUUGUCUUGGCAUCAUGGAAAAUUUUUCAGCCUUCUCCAACAAGAGUGUCAGAUCUUGGGAACAGUAAUUCAUAAAUGGCCUGAUUCCACCAUGAGUCAGAGUGACUAAAAUACUCUGGAUACACGUUUCACUUAUUUAUAUUGUUGGGUCAAAACCACAGUUUAUUUAAUUAGCUGUGUUGGUAACAUUUUUUGAAAGAGCUCCGUUUACCACUUUGUACCCUCUCAGUGUGCCCCCGUGUUGUUGACACAAGAGACUGCGUAGACAGGAUUAGCGGGGGUACUGUGGGUACCCUAAGUCUUCACAACCCACAAAAGGAAGCUCAAUGAAAUAGGCAGUCACCAUGAUUCGAUUAAAAUGGAGCUUCUUCUCUUGAACAAAUGGUCUGGGCACCAAGGCAAGACCUUACUGAAUCUUUGACCCUGGGAAUUCUAAAAUAAUCUCUUUCAGUGAACAGGGAUAUUAUAUUGAAACCUGAAAUUAUGGGAGAUUAGGAGAAUGGAGCUUUUUUUUUUUUUUAAUGCUUAUUUAUUUUUAAAGAGAGGGCAAGAAAGCGAGUGGGGAAGGGGCAGAGAGAGGGGGAGAGAGAGAACCCUAAGCAGGCUCUGGGCUGUCAGCAUGGAGCCAGACGUGGGGUUCAAAUUCACAAACCGUGAGAUCAUGACCUGAGCUGAAAUCAAGAGUCAGAUGUUUAAUCAGCUGAGCCACCCAGGCGCCCCAAGAAUGGAGCUUAAUUAACAAAACCAAGCCAUAAAAAUCUAGAGUUUUAACAUAACCUCUUUUACUUCCUUUGAAAAUUGGAGUCCUUCAGAUUAUAGAAACUUAAUCUCUGGUUUAAACUUUAGCGCUAAAUAUGAGCCAAAGGCUUAAGGACCCUGAAGCUAAGAUUAAAUAAGCACUUUUUCAAAUUAGCCUUGAUGGUUGUUACAUUCAUAAAAUCUUGGAAGAAGAGCUAGUAAUCCAUGUUGUUUUAUCCUUUUAACUCAUCGAUGUUUCUCUUAUUUGUGUUUUUUUUUUUAUUUUUUUUUAACGUUUAUUUAUUUUUGAGACAGAGAGAGACAGAGCAUGAACGGGGGAGGGUCAGAGAGAGGGAGACACAGAAUCUGAAACAGGUUUCAGGCUCUGAGCGGUCAGCACAGAGCCCGACGCGGGGCUCGAACUCACGGACCGCGAGAUCAUGACCUGAGCCAAAGUCGGUCGCUUAACCGACUGAGCCACCCAGGCGCCCCUCUUAUUUGUGGUUUAAAGUUAGCAGUGGAGGGGAUCUUCUGAGGUCUUUAGUGACAACUGGGACUUUACCAUGUUUCGACUUUCGAAAUUGAUACUCAAAAUAAUAAAUAAAAAAUAUUGAUCUCUACCCGCACAGUUACUGCCUAUUAUUUUGGUCUAGGUAUAUCGAUUUAAAUGUGAAGCAACGCUUCUAAGUUGGGGCAAGGUGAAUCUAAUCUUUGAAAAUGUGAGGGCAGAAAAAAUGCCCUAGAGGCCCGCAUGACAGUUCCUGUAUGGCUAAAAUAUCAUCUAUGUAAAUGAGGAAAACUAAUAGGUAUUCACCCGAGUGGAAUGUAAAAUUAGCCAUAAAAUCUCUGGCUGUGAAAUGCUUAUCAUUUCAUUAGCUAUUGUUCCCAAAGGACUAGUGAAAAUCCCUAUAUGUCACUUUGAAAUAAAAAAAAAAAAAAAAAAAAAAACAACUUUGAUUUCCUUUUUACUUCUAAAUCUGCUGUUUAUAUCUUUCUUUUAAAAACCGUAUCCUCGUUUGGAUGACCGUGGGAAGGCACGGGCUAAAAAUGAAAAUUUCUUAACCUACGGUUUCAUUUAAAAUAUUGUUGGCCUGGCAUUGCAAUGUUAGUUUCAACGCCCAGUGAUAUUUUACGGGAUAGCCAUUAAGUAAUGAAACUUAUUUCCAUAAUCUAUCACUGGUUCCCUUUACUGUGCUGUUAAAUACCACUAGGGUUUUAGUGCUGAGACGUUUCAGGAACUUAUCAUUCAGAUGUGGUACACAGAGAAGUUUGGUUUAUAAAGAAAACCUUUGUUUUCAUUUCAUUCCUAAUCAGUAGACAUGCUUCAUUAGGCCCCGCUUGACUCACAGAAUUCUCGGUGGCGCUUCUAAGGUUAAAUCACAGCAAAGAAUUAUUGGCAUAAAGGUGGUUCUGCUGAAAGCGGCCGGGUUCUAGAGGACCUGCCUCGCUACCAGGAAAAUGCCAUCCAAAUCCGUCUUGUGAAUUGUGAAUCCAUCGUUUCUUGUGAAAAGUAUAUUCGUAGUUUCUACUGUGCUUCUCACAGCUGCCGGCAGCCAGAUGGCACUUUUUGUUAUAACUGAGAUACUGGAUGAGGAACUCCUCACUCCUUCCACAGAGGUUCCACUGGCAACCGCUGAUAUUUUUUUUACUGUCUCCGUGGUUUUUGCCUUUUCCAAAGGGCAAGUAUCCAUGAAGAGAUAAUCCACAUCAUAUUUUGUGGGUAUCAACAAUCUACAAGCUGAUUCUAAAGUGUAUACAGAGGAGCCAAAAGAAGACCCAGAAUAGCCAACAUAAUAUCGAAGGAAUAAGAACAAAGUGGGAGGACUAAUGCUACCUGACUUCAAGGUCUACCACGAAGCUACAUCAACCAAGACAAUAUAGAUAAAUGAAAAAAUAUAUAAGCCGAGACACAGGCCUACAUAAACACAGCCAAGUGUUCUUUGACAAGGAAGCAGAGGCAGCACAAAGGAGCAAAGACAGUCUUUGCGACAAAUAGUGCUGGAACUGAACAUCCACAUGCAAAGAAAAUAAAUAAAUAAUAAAUAAUAAUCCAGACACGGAUCUUACACCUUCCACAAAAAUUAACUCAAAAUGGAGCAGAGACCUAAACGCAAAACACAAGAGUAUAAAAACCCUAGAAGAUAAUCUAGAAGAAAACCUAGAUCGACCUUGGGUAUGGUGAUGACUUUUUUUUUUUUUAAUGGUGAUGACUUUUUAGAUACAACACCAGAGAUACGAUCCAUGAAACAAACAACUGAUAAACUGGAAUUCAUUAAAAUCAACAUCUUUUGCUCUGCAAUAACAGUGCCAGAAGAAUGAGAAGGCAAGCCACAGACUGGGAGAAAAUAUUUGUAAAAGACACAUGUGACAAAGGACUGUUGUCGAAAAGAUACAAAGAACUUUAAAACUCAACAAUAGCAAUGCAAAUAAAACAUGGGCCAAAGACCGUAACAGACACCUCACCAAAGAACACAUACAGAUGUGCACGUCAUACGUCAUCAGGGAAAUGCAAAUUAAACCAACAAUUAGAUGCUACUCCUCCCUGUGAGAAGGGUCAAAAUCUAAGAACACGGACAACAGUAAAUGCUGGUGAGACUGUAGAGCAUCAGGAACUCUCAUUCAUGGCUGGUGGGAAUGCAAAAUGGUAGAGCCACUUGAGACGACAGCUGGACAGUCUCUUACAAAACUAAACACACUCUUACCACGUGAUCCAGCAACCGCACUCCUUGGCAUUCGCCCAAAGGACCUGAAAACUUACGUUCAUACCAAAGCCCGUAUGUAGAUAUUUGUAGGGGUUUUAUUCAUAACGGUCAAAACUUGGAAGAAACCAAGAUGACCUUCAGUAGGUGAAUGGGUAAGUAACCUGUGGCACAUCCAGACAAUGGAAUAUUAUUUGGUACUAAAAAGAAAUGAUCAAGCCAUGAAAAGACAUAAAGGAAACUUAAAUACUUACUACUAAGUGAAAGAAGCCAAUCUGAAAAGGCUACAUACUGUAGGAUUCCAAACAUAUAUCAUUCUGGAUAAGGCAAAAACCAUGGAGACAGUAAAAAAAAUAUCAGUGGUUGCCAGGGGCUGGGGAGAAGGAGGGGUGAAUACACAGAGAACAGAAGAUAUUUAAGGCACUGAAACUACCCUGUAUGAUAUCGUAAUUGUGGCUACAUGUCAUUAUAUGUUUGUUCGACUCACAGAAUGCACAGAACAAAGGUGAGCUCUAACGUAAACCAGGUUCCUUAAUUGUAACAAAUGUACCACUCUGGUAGGGGAUGUUGAUAAUGGGGAGGCUAUGUAUGUGUGGGGGCAGAGGGUAACAAAAAAUCAAUCUACCUUCCACUCAAUUUUUCUGUGAAUCUAAAACUGCUCUAAAGAAUGACGUCUAGGGGC